CACGGGGGGAGCAAGCGUUGUUCGGAAUCACUGGGCGUAAAGGGCGUGUAGGCGGUCAGGUAAGUGGGAUGUGAAAUGCCCCGGCUCACCCGGGGACCGGCAUCCCAUACUGGCUUGGCUUGAGUACGGGAGAGGAUGUGGGAAUUCCUGGUGUAGCGGUGAAAUGCGUAGAUAUCGAGGAGGAACACCGGUGGCGAAGGCGCACAUC
rnacentral:rRNA from 1 species